UUGUGAUUCCACGAAUACAUUAACCAAUCAUAUCGUUCAAUGAUAAACAUACGAUAGGUGUUUGUUUUCUGGGUUUAGUGUGCGUAAAUUUCGAAAUACGGCAGAGUUGUUUUUCCGUGGAGCAGCCAUGUUUGUAGUUUCGAUCGAAACAGCGUCAUGUAUUAUUUUACGAUCAGUUUUUCAUCGGUUUAUUCAAUUGCUUUUUGCUCCAAAAUUUCCAAGGAAGAUUCAUCCCUCCAUUCAUCCAUCAGUUUUAGACCUCGUUCGAGACAAUGGAAAUUCAAAUUGAUAUUUGUGUAAAAACUGUUUAUGGUCAACGUUGUAAGAUGAGGAUGGCGGUUUUCCAGGCUCCCUGCAGAAAAAAACAGUAUGAAGUGCUAUUUGAUUGCUGUAUAAAAUAAAGUAUAAAGUGCUAUUGUUUUCUCGUACUUCAUAAAUACAUCGGAUUUACUUUAAUAAAACAUAUAUAAAUUAUGAAAAUAUGGUGUAUUUUAUUUA